AACUUUAUAGUUUAAUAGGAGUUGAUGAAAAAUAUUUAAUUUGCGUUUAAAAGAAAAAUAAGGAAAAUUUUAGAGUUA
rnacentral:tRNA from 1 species